rnacentral:rRNA from 1 species
UGGUGGAGCGAUUUGUCUGGUUAAUUCCGAUAACGAACGAGACUCUAGCCUAUUAAAUAGUUCGCUGAUCACGUUACGUCGGCGUCAACUUCUUAGAGGGACAAGUGGCGUUUAGCCACGCGAGAUUAAGCAAUAACA